rnacentral:tRNA from 1 species
GCCCCUGUAGCUCAGUGGUAGAGCGCUACCUUGGUAAGGUAGAGGUCACGGAUUCAACUUCCGUCAGGGGCU